GAACGAACGCUGGCGGCAGGCCUAACACAUGCAAGUCGAGCGCGCGCUUUCGGGUGCGAGCGGCGCACGGGUGAGUAACGCGUGGGAAUCUACCCCGGGGUGGGGAAUAACCGCUGGAAACGGCGGCUAAUACCGCAUACGCCUUGAGAGGGAAAGCCGCCGCUCUAUUGGAGAAGCCUGCGUCGGAUUAGCUAGUUGGUGGGGUAAAGGCCCACCAAGGCGACGAUCCGUAGCUGGUCUGAGAGGAUGAUCAGCCACACUGGGACUGAGACACGGCCCAGACUCCUACGGGAGGCAGCAGUGGGGAAUAUUGGACAAUGGGGGCAACCCUGAUCCAGCCAUGCCGCGUGUGUGAAGAAGGCCUUAGGGUUGUAAAGCACUUUCGCUAGGGAUGAUAAUGACAGUACCUACAGAAGAAGCACCGGCAAACUCCGAGCCAGCAGCCGCGGUAAUACGGAGGGUGCGAGCGUUAAUCGGAAUUACUGGGCGUAAAGCGCACGCAGGCGGUUUGUUAAGCUAGAUGUGAAAGCCCUGGGCUCAAACUAGGAACUGCAUUCAAAACUGUCAGGCUAGAGUAUGGUAGAGGAUAGUGGAAUUUCCGGUGUAGCGGUGAAAUGCGUAGAUAUUGGGAAGAACACCAGUGGCGAAGGCGGCCAUCUGGCUCGGUACUGACGCUGAGGUGCGAAAGCGUGGGGAGUAAACAGGAUUAGAUCCCCUGGUAGUCCACGCCGUAAACGAUGUGUGCUAGCUGUGGCGGGGUUUAGCCUUCGGUGGCGCAGCUAACGCGUUAAGCGCACCGCCUGGGGAGUACGGUCGCAAGAUUAAAACUCAAAGGAAUUGACGGGGGCCCGCACAAGCGGUGGGGCAUGUGGUUUAAUUCGAAGCAACGCGAAGAACCUUACCAACCCUUAACAGCCUGGUCGCGGAGGGCGGAGACGCCUUCCUUCAGUUCGGCUGGACAAGAUACAGGUGCUGCAUGGCUGUCGUCAGCUCGUGUCGUGAGAUGUUGGGUUAAGUCCCGCAACGAGCGCAACCCUCGUCCUCAGUUGCCACCGGUUCGGCCGGGCACUCUGGAGGAACUGCCGGUGAUAAGCCGGAGGAAGGUGGGGAUGACGUCAAGUCCUCAUGGCCCUUAUGGGCUGGGCUACACACGUGCUACAAUGGCGGUGACAGAGGGCAGCGAGACCGCAAGGUUGAGCAAAUCCCUAAAAACCGUCUCAGUUCGGAUUGUACUCUGCAACUCGAGUGCAUGAAGGUGGAAUCGCUAGUAAUCGCGGAUCAGCAUGCCGCGGUGAAUACGUUCCAGGGCCUUGUACACACCGCCCGUCACACCAUGGGAGUUGGUUUGACCCGAAGACGGUCAGCUAACCUUAAACUUCGGUUUGGGGAGGCAGCCGGCCACGGUAGGGUCAGCGACUGGGGU
rnacentral:rRNA from 1 species